CAGUUUUUGGUUAAACUUCUCAUGUCACGUUUUCUGACAACACCUUCCAUUGUACCAUCUGUUUCUGAACAAUACCUGGGACAUUGCAAACUUGUUCUGCAAGAAUACCCUGGGUCUCAGUGUGUGUGACAAGGGAUGGAAGAAUUCACCAGUAAAACCACCUGGACCUGAAAUUUUUUCAUGGGAAAGUUUUUGAUGAUGUAUUCAAUCUCUACUCAAAUGUUCUAUUUCAUCUUGUGUCAAUUUUGAGGCACCAACAGGGGUCCCUCUGGAAACGUGGAGCAGAAUCAUCCAGGAUCCCGAAGAGGACUUUGUCCUCCUGCCCAUUUCCAGUUCCUCUCCCAUCUCCUCUGGUUUCCAGAAGCAGCACAUCCCCGGCCCCACCCCUCAUCUGUAUACGGAUCCUCCUAAUGCAGACCCAGGUGAUGGAAAACCCGUCUACAACGAACCAAGGCUGUUCGUGCUUUCAAAU
rnacentral:lncRNA from 1 species